UAACGCUAGCGGCAGGCCUAAUACAUGCAAGUCGAGGGGCAUCAAGUCCGUUUACGGACGUUGGCGACCGGCGCACGGGUGCGUAACGCGUAUGCAACCUACCCUUUACAGGGGGAUAGCCCGGGGAAACCCGGAUUAAUACCCCAUGGUAUUGUUGAAUGGCAUCAUUUGAUGAUUAAAGAUUUAUCGGUAAAGGAUGGGCAUGCGUCUGAUUAGUUAGUUGGUGAGGUGAUGGCUCACCAAGGCGACGAUCAGUAGGGGUUCUGAGAGGAAGAUCCCCCACACUGGCACUGAGAUACGGGCCAGACUCCUACGGGAGGCAGCAGUAGGGAAUAUUGGUCAAUGGGCGGAAGCCUGAACCAGCCAUGCCGCGUGCAGGAAGACGGCCUUCUGGGUUGUAAACUGCUUUUAUCAGGGAACAAAUAGGCCAUGCGUGGCAAGUUGAGUGUACCUGAAGAAUAAGCACCGGCUAACUCCGUGCCAGCAGCCGCGGUAAU
rnacentral:rRNA from 1 species